rnacentral:tRNA from 1 species
GCCUGGGUGACUCAGUCGGUUAAGUGCGUGACUUCGGCUCAGGUCAUGAUCUCACGGUUCGUGGGUUCGAGCCCCGUGUCAGGCU